rnacentral:rRNA from 1 species
CUGCUGCCUUCCGUAGGAGUUUGGGCCGUGUCUCAGUCCCAAUGUGGCCGUCCACCCUCUCAGGCCGGCUACUGAUCGUCGCUUUGGUAGGCCGUUACCCUGCCAACUGGCUAAUCAGACGCGGGUCCAUCAUAUACCACCGGAGUUUUUCACACUGAGUCAUGCGACUCCGUGCGCUUAUGCGGUUUUAGCAGCAAUUUCUCGCUGUUAUCCCCCUGUAUAUGGCAGGUUACCCACGCGUUACUCACCCG